CUCAGGAAGAGGAAGUUCUAUUUGAAGAAGAAAUUGUUCCUGAAGAGGAAGUUCUACCUGAGGAAGAGGAAGUUCUACCUGAGGAAGAGGAAGUUCUACCUGAAGAAGAGGAAGUUCUACCUGAAGAAGAGGAAAUUCCACCUGAGGAAGAGGAAGUUCCUCCCGAAGAAGAAUAUGUACCUGAGGAAGAAGAAUUUGUACCUGAAGAAGAAGUCCUUCCAGAAGUUAAACCUAAGGUGCCAGUACCUGCACCAGUGCCUGAAGUGCCAAAGAAACCUGUACCAGAGAAGAAAGUCCCUGUUCCCGCCCCUAAAAAAGUGGAACCUCCACCACCACCCAAAGUGCCUGAAAUUAAGAAGAAAGUGACAGAGAAGAAAGUGGUCAUUCCCAAGAAAGAGGAGGCUCCCCCUGCCAAAGUUCCUGAGGUGCCUAAGAAGGUGGAAGAAAAACGAAUCAUUCUCCCUAAAGAAGAGGAAGUUCUACCAGUUGAAGUGACUGAGGAGCCUGAAGAAGAGCCUAUUUCAGAAGAAGAAAUCCCAGAAGAACCACCUAGCAUAGAGGAAGUUGAAGAGGUGGCACCACCUAGAGUGCCUGAAGUGAUUAAGAAAGCAGUACCUGAAGCACCUACUCCUGUUCCUAAAAAAGUGGAGGCACCACCAGCUAAAGUGUCAAAGAAAAUUCCUGAGGAAAAAGUACCUGUUCCUGUUCAGAAAAAAGAGGCACCCCCAGCCAAAGUGCCUGAAGUACCAAAGAAAGUCCCAGAAAAGAAAGUCCUUGUGCCUAAAAAGGAAGCUGUUCCCCCAGCUAAAGGGAGAACUGUCCUUGAAGAAAAAGUAUCAGUUGCCUUCCGCCAAGAAGUAGUAGUAAAAGAAAGACUAGAAUUAGAAGUAGUAGAAGCAGAAGUGGAAGAAAUUCCGGAAGAAGAAGAGUUCCAUGAAGUUGAAGAAUAUUUUGAAGAAGGCGAGUUUCAUGAAGUAGAAGAAUUCAUCAAAUUAGAACAACAUAGAGUUGAAGAAGAACACAGAGUUGAAAAAGUUCAUAGGGUAAUAGAAGUUUUUGAGGCUGAAGAAGUGGAAGUAUUUGAAAAACCAAAAGCUCCACCUAAAGGGCCUGAGAUAUCUGAGAAAAUCAUCCCUCCAAAAAAACCGCCCACUAAAGUUGUUCCUCGAAAAGAGCCACCAGCUAAAGUACCGGAGGUGCCUAAGAAAAUUGUGGUAGAAGAAAAAGUACGUGUUCCUGAAGAGCCCAGAGUUCCACCAACUAAAGUGCCUGAAGUGCUGCCACCGAAGGAAGUGGUCCCAGAAAAGAAAGUACCGGUGCCUCCUGCCAAAAAGCCAGAAGCUCCACCUCCUAAAGUGCCUGAGGCUCCCAAAGAAGUUGUUCCUGAAAAGAAAGUGCCAGUGCCUCCUCCUAAAAAGCCUGAAGUGCCACCCACAAAAGUCCCAGAGGUGCCAAAGGCAGCUGUCCCAGAAAAGAAGGUGCCUGAAGCUAUUCCUCCCAAACCGGAAAGUCCUCCCCCUGAAGUGCCUGAAGUGCUGCCACCGAAGGAAGUGG
rnacentral:lncRNA from 1 species